rnacentral:rRNA from 1 species
GACGAACGCUGGCGGCGUGCUUAACACAUGCAAGUCGAACGGUGAAGCGCCUUCCUCUUGGGUGGGCGGGGAGGGGGGGCGAACGGGGGGGUAACACGUGCGUAACCUGCCCUUUCCUUCGGGAUAACGUCAGGAAAGUGUGGCUAAUACGGGAUACUCUGGGUCUGUGGCAGGAUGGGUCUGGGAAAGCUUUUGUUUUGGUGGGGGAUGGGCUCGCGGCCUAUCAGUUUGUUGGUGGGGGGAUGGCCUAGCAAGGCGGUGAGGGGUAGCCGGCCUGGGAGGGUGGGCGGCCAUACUAGUGCUAAGACACCGCGCCUCCUCCUGCAGGAAGCAGCAGUGAAGAAUAGUGCACGAUGGGCGCAAGGCUGCUGCAGCGCCGCCGCGUGAGAGAUGGAGUCCUUCUGGUUGUGAACCUCUUUUGCCAGUGAAGCAGGCCUGCCUCGUUUGUGGGUGGGUUGACGGUAGCUAGAGAAGAAGCGCCGGCUAACUACGUG